GGGCCGCUAGCUCAGUAGGUAGAGCACCGGCCUUUUAAGCCGGGUGUCCCGAGUUCGAUUCUCGGGCGGCUCA
rnacentral:tRNA from 1 species